GACGAACGCUGGCGGCGUGCCUAACACAUGCAAGUCGAACGAACGGACGCGAUGCUUUUUGCUCUGGUGGUAGAGGCGGACGGGGGAGUAAUACGUGGAUAACAUACCUCUCCGUCUUGGGUAAUAACGGCAAAAAGUAGCUACUACCGGAUAAUAUUUUGCACCGCUUGGUUCAAGGGUCUUAGACGGUAUUGGUGUCGCUUAUGGCUGGCUCCGCGCUGCAUUAGCUAGUUGGUAAGGUAACGGCUUACCAAGGCUACGAUGCAUAGCCGACCUGAGAGGGUGGUCGACCACCCUGGAAGUGAGGCACGGCCCACACGCCUACGAGGGGCAGCAGCAGAGAAUCUUACGGGAUGGUGGAAAGCCGGACGAUGCAACGCCGCAGGAGGGAUGAAGGAGUUCUGCGGGUUGAACUCUGUUAUUGGGAGAGAAGAAAUAUUGAAUCAACUGUGCACAUCUUGACGGUACCUGGACAAGAAGCCACGGCUAACUACGUG
rnacentral:rRNA from 1 species